GACGAACGCUGGCGGCGUGCUUAACACAUGCAAGUCGAACGGAAAGGCCCUGCUUUUGUGGGGUGCUCGAGUGGCGAACGGGUGAGUAACACGUGAGUAACCUGCCCUUGACUUUGGGAUAACUUCAGGAAACUGGGGCUAAUACCGGAUAGGAGCUCCCGCUGCAUGGUGGGGGUUGGAAAGUUUCGGCGGUUGGGGAUGGACUCGCGGCUUAUCAGCUUGUUGGUGGGGUAGUGGCUUACCAAGGCUUGGACGGGUAGCCGGCCUGGGAGGGUGACCGGCCACGUUGGGACGGAGAUGCGGCCCAGCCUCCUCCGGGAGGGAGCGGUGGGGAAUAUUGCACUAUGGGCUGAAGCCUGAUGCAGCAACGCCGCGUGCGGGAUGACGGCCUUCGGGUUGUAAACCGCUUUCGCCUGUGACGAAGCGUGAGUGACGGUAAUGGGUAAAGAAGCACCGGCUAACUACGUG
rnacentral:rRNA from 1 species